AAGAAAGAAUCAACGGAGGGGAUAUAAUUUAUUUAAAAACAAAAUUCCAUCGAUCUCGAGAUUCUUUCAUCGCUACGAGUCAAGUUUUAUUGGCUUGGCAACUAAGUGAUUGCGGAUUUUGUCAAUGCCACUUAAUGACAGAAUCCGCAAUUACUUAGUUGCCAACCCGGAGUAACUCGUCGAGAUCUAUUUCCAAGUUGGCAGAUCGUUUCGUUUUGUUUUAUCGCGUUUAGAAAUAUACUUGCCCUUGAGAUGCUCGAAUUUUUAUAUCUCGAUCCAAUUUUGUCGUCUUAACGAGAGAAAAGAUACUCGAUUGUCGCUAUAAACAGUGUUCCGGUGACUGAAAAUUUUGAAUUCUAGAAUUGAUCGCUCCUAUUAAUCGAGGACAAUGAAGCUUUAUAAAUACAUGUAUGAACGCGUAGCUUAUAACUCAUCAUAAAGCGCAUUGAAGCACGUGGAGAUUGCUUUGAUGAAAUACAUGACGUUUCGUAGAAACCACGCGCCAUUAAAUUCAUGACUGUGAUCACGAAUAUGGAAUAACGAAACUGUAAUAAUUAAUCGUUGCGAAAUUACAUUGAAUCAUAUUGAUAUCGCUUCGACGAGAUAUACGUACAAUUUUAUAGAAACAACAUUCGGGGAAGGAUUUUCAUUCGAAGCAUUCUGUAUAUCCUAACCUAUAAUAUAAUGUAGCAGCGCUUGGAAGAUCCAUCGAAGACUAAAUUAUCACGAUCCUUUUCAUUUUUCCAUAUAAUGCAACGAAAUUAAUCUGCCGCGUAGAAAAAGAAACCGCGGAACAUACUUUCACGAAAUGGUAAACAAUUAACGAGAGAAUUUCGAUAAGAGACGGAGUCGCGUAAUCGUUACGAAAUAGAGGUUAACGUGCAAUUAAGUCGAUGAUUCGAGUGAUCGAUGAACGUUAAUUGGACCGCAAUUGGAGGUUCUAUUAAGCGGAUCGACGAUACGUCUUAUCUGGAUAUUAUUAUUUUCGCAACGUCGUUCGUUAUAUUUAGAAGUCGCAUAUCGAUUUGUGGCCUGGCGGCGCUAGUGUCGCGUGAUUAAUUCCCCGACGAUAAUUCACAGAAAAGUCACAAAAGACCCUCAGAUCGGCAAAUCACCAAUUUCAAGGAAAGGAGAAGUAACUGAAAAUUCCGUAAGAAAGAUCCGUUUAAUAGAAACCUACCACAUGUGUAUUCUAGAAAAAGUGCUCUUUACGAAAACAACGUCGACCAGUCCACAAGACAAUCAGACAAAAGAUUCUGAGAGGCACGAGUCAUCAAUUCCAAGGAGAAGAGAAAUCCACAGGAAAAUCAGAAAAAAAUCCGAAGAUCGAUCGAUUGUGUAGAUCGCCACCGAGUCGAAAGGAAAGAAUAGGAUGGCCAACUUUGCUACUCGAAGAGAAACGAUAGCCAGCUAACGACCGAUAAAAGGGUAGUAAGAGAAAUAAUUACGGCGGGACAAACGAAGAUAUAAAAUAUUCUGGAUGAGCUAUCGUCGGCAUAAAUUUCAGGAGCGCGCGUGACACGUUAUAGCGCGAUGCGACGCAUAAACGCGCGCACACCGAGGCGGAAAUGGCGCAUUGUGCGGUAUCCCUAUGGCGGGAUAUCUGCGAUUCUGGGUUGGAAGGCAUUCGACGCCACGUAUGCAGGUGAUUGCGUUCGCCAGUGCAAUGCGACUCGAACCAGGAUCCAGGCAUUUCGAUAUUAGAAUAGCAAUGAGUUAAUAAAGGCGGGUCGACGGUGAUGUUCGCUCGACAAGAUUGGAAAUUGCGCUCACCGUUCCGAUUUUUAUUCCUAAAAUAUUGUAAUUUAAGCCCAUGAUUUGCACGCAUAUCUGUAAAUAGGUGUUCUUUAUUGCGGUAGAGUUUAUCACCGAUAAUUUGUCAAUUAUAUGCUGUAUAUAUAUCGC